rnacentral:lncRNA from 1 species
UCAUGCCUCGUGAUAUGAGCCAGUAGCCAACAUACGCCUCCAUCCUCAACGGCUUCCAAACCGGCACCCAUAUCUCAGGCAGAGCGGCAUCAUGCUUAUGUCACCUUUCUUCAUUGUAGGCAGAGCUUUGGUGGAUGAUGCCGUCUGCAGCUCCCGUUUCUCGCUUCUGUACACAUGCCUGCUGAAGCAAGUUUACCAUAUGGGGUUGCAACCCCCUCAUUUGAGUCCUGCAGAUCAUGCAAGCAAGCAGUUGCAUUGUCUAACAUGCAAGCCAAAUUUUACUACUUCGCAUGAGACAACAUCAUACUUUGGGUUGUUGCUUGGGUUUGGUGCUGCCCAGGUGUGCAGCCAUGGCAUGAGGAGCGUGGUCGCGAUGGUGAAGUCCUUUGUUGCCAAGUUGCCAUAGAACUCGGCAAAGUCGUCAUAUUCCAUUCCAAUGACGGCCAGGAAUUCCUCAAACGCUUUGGUGGCCUUAUCACCAGCAGCACUGCAAACGUUGCUGGGCACGUUUAAAAUGUACCGCUCAUCUAAUGAACCAGUGCAAUGGCUGAUGAUGCCACUCACUUGUCAUUCGUUGGCUGCAUCAUAGCUGCAGCUGGACCUCGUGCAUCCGGCGCCUAUUGUCCGACGGCUGCGUGGGCUGCAUCCCAAAUCCACCCACAAAAUCAUCAUUGACUUCCAUUGUGAUAUUAACUCUUAAGCAUCUUUAGAGAUUUGGCCUAUGGGGUUAGAGAGUAGGGUCGGGUUGGAGCCAACUAUAGCACAGCCCAGGGACUCNNNNNNNNNNNNNNNNNNNNNNNNNNNNNNNNNNNNNNNNNNNNNNNNNNGCCGCCACUGGGCCGCUACGGGGUACCAANUGGGCCGUAACCCGUCUCAGGAGUACUAGUCCAGUUGCUAGGGGGGGGGGCCGUAACACGUCGUUUGGCUGCCAUAGGGGUAGGGAUAGACCAUGUAUGCAUGGAUUCAUAGUUUUACAUAUACACAUCGCCUAGCAGCAGCUACAUGCAUACGAAAUUCCGAAGUCCUGCUAUGUAACAACAUUAAGCCAUAUGCAUUGCCUGCUUCAGCUGAAGCAGCUGCAGCUUCCAAACAAUCUGCAGCUUCCAAACAGCACCAAACAUUUCCACAACAGCGGCUGCUGGAGCUGCAGCUCAUCGAUCUGUCAACAAUUUGCCUCAAAACAUGCUACAUUAUAGCUCAGAAGUGCUCUAUCCACCCUAACACUUUCUGGUAUUCAUGCCUAGAAGUAGUCCUCCAUCACCGUCAGUUAACACUCCAAGACAAGUCUGUACAGUGACUGUACAGUGCAGCAGCGCUGCUGCUAGCAGUAGCUUCUCCACAAGCGGCUUGUGAGCCUGUAUGCAGCAGCUGCUGCAGCAGAAGCUUUGAAACAGCUCCAAACAGUUUCAUAUUGGGUGCACCCAGCUGCAGCUCAUCCAUCUCAACAAAAUUUGCCUCAAAACAUGCUACAUCAUAGGUCACAUGCACUAUCCACCCUAACACCUUCUGGUAGUCAUGCCUAGUAUUAGUCCUCUAUCGCCGUUAGUUAACACUACAAGACAUUGCUGCAGCAGCAGUCCUCCACAAGCAGCUUGUGAGCCUGUAUGCAGCAAAGAUCAGGCAGGGGCAUACAGUAGCACCUUUGUCAGACCAUCAAGAACUGCAAUGACUGUGAUGUGGAACUUAGAAUGCAGUUUUAUGCCACACACCUUACUACUGCUUUAACCUUCCACUGACUCUGCGUGCUGAUGUGUGGUGGGGAAAGCAUGUGGUGUUGUCCACAGCAGCUGCAGGUUGCUGGGUGGGCCCUGUAGACAGACAAACAUGCCCAUCAGAAGUUAAAUACGCCAAACCCUGUAUAGGAGACUCCAUACAGAAUAUAUGCAGCAAGAGGUAAUUUGACACAAAAUCCAAAAACUGCAGUUGCCCUUGUUUGCUUGCACAUGAAUGACAAUUAUUCCCCCUCAAAAUCAGGGGGUCCCCAACUAUCUGUCAAUCUCAGAGUGAUGGACGCAACUGUGUAGAUACCUGUAGUCACAGCUAUCACCUCCCAAGCAGAAAAAGCAUGCCCGGGAAUCGAACUCAGGUCGGAACUGGGUUAUUUGCCUAAUCCACCCCGUUCUAUCAUGACAUCCCCAGAGAACACUUCACCAUUCUUAAGUUUUAGCUCUGUAUAUGAGUUACUAGUUACUAGUAGUAAGUAACAUACUUCCUCAACGGCUUCUUCCUGUUUGAACCUGGGUAGUUGCCUUAAUCAACCUGUUACAUCAUGAUUUCCCCAGAGAACAACUCACCAGUGGUCACUAUUCACGUGUCAUGCCUCGUGAUAUGAGCCAGUAGCCAACAUACGCCUCCAUCCUCAACGGCUUCCAAACCGGCACCCAUAUCUCAGGCAGAGCGGCAUCAUGCUUAUGUCACCUUUCUUCAUCGUAGGCAGAGCUUUGGUGGAUGAUGCCGUCUGCAGCUCCCGUUUCUCGCUUCUGUACACAUGCCUGCUGAAGCAAGUUUACCAUAUGGGGUUGCAACCCCCUCAUUUGAGUCCUGCAGAUCAUGCAAGCAAGCAGUUGCAUUGUCUAACAUGCAAGCCAAAUUUUACUACUUCGCAUGAGACAACAUCAUACUUUGGGUUGUUGCUUGGGUUUGGUGCUGCCCAGGUGUGCAGCCAUGGCAUGAGGAGCGUGGUCGCGAUGGUGAAGUCCUUUGUUGCCAAGUUGCCAUAGAACUCGGCAAAGUCGUCAUAUUCCAUUCCAAUGACGGCCAGGAAUUCCUCAAACGCUUUGGUACCCUUAUCACCAGCAGCACUGCAAACGUUGCUGGGCACGUUUAAAAUGUACCGCUCAUCUAAUGAACCAGUGCAAUGGCUGAUGAUGCCACUCACUUGUCAUUCGUUGGCUGCAUCAUAGCUGCAGCUGGACCUCGUGCAUCCGGCGCCUAUUGUCCGACGGCUGCGUGGGCUGCAUCCCAAAUCCACCCACAAAAUCAUCAUUGACUUCCAUUGUGAUAUUACCUCUUAAGCAUCUUUAGAGAUUUGGCCUGUGGGGUUAGAGAGUAGGGUCGGGUUGGAGCCAACUAUAGCACAGUCAGAGACUCUUGAUCCUGAGUAAGGUAAUUAUUACAAAGACG